rnacentral:rRNA from 1 species
GAGUGGCGGACGGGUGAGUAACACGUGGGUAACCUACCCAAAAGUGGGGGAUAACAUUUGGAAACAGAUGCUAAUACCGCAUAAUUUAAGUGACCACAUGGUCACUUAAUGAAAGAUGGUUUCGGCUAUCACUUUUGGAUGGACCCGCGGCGUAUUAGCUAGUUGGUGGGAUAACGCCCUACCAAGGCGAUGAUACGUAGCCGACCUGAGAGGGUAAUCGGCCACAUUGGGACUGAGACACGGCCUAAACCUCUACGGGAGGCAGCAGUAGGGAAUCUUCCACAAUGGACGUCUGGUGGAGCAACGCCGCGUGAGUGAAGAAGGUUUUCGGAUCGUAAAACUCUGUUGUUGGAGAAGAACAGGGACUAGAGUAACUGUUAGUCCUAUGACGGUAGUCAACCAGAAAGCCACGGCUAACUACGUGCCAGCAGCCGCGGUAAUACGUAGGUGGCAAGCGUUGUCCGGAUUUAUUGGGCGUAAAGCGAGCGCAGGCGGUUUUUUAAGUCUGAUGUGAACGCUUCGGCUUAACCGAAGAAGUGCAUUAGAAACUGGGAAACUUGAGUGCAGAAGAGGAGAGUGGAACUCCAUGUGUAGCGGUGAAAUGCGUAGAUAUAUGGAAGAACACCAGUGGCGAAGGCGGCUCUCUGGUCUGUAACUGACGCUGAGGCUCGAAAGUAUGGGGAGCGAACAGGAUUAGAUACCCUGGUAGUCCAUACCGUAAACGAUGAAUGCUAAGUGUUGGAGGGUUUCCGCCCUUCAGUGCUGCAGCUAACGCAUUAAGCAUUCCGCCUGGGGAGUACGACCGCAAGGUUGAAACUCAAAGGAAUUGACGGGGGCCCGCACGAGCGGUGGAGCAUGUGGUUUAAUUCGAAGCUACGCGAAGAACCUUACCAGGUCUUGACAUCCUUUGACCACUGUAGAGAUACAGCUUUCCCUUCGGGGACAAAGUGACAGGUGGUGCAUGGUUGUCGUCAGCUCGUGUCGUGAGAUGUUGGGUUAAGUCCCGCAACGAGCGCAACCCUUAUGACUAGUUGCCAGCAUUAAGUUGGGCACUCUAGUGAGACUGCCGGUGACAAACCGGAGGAAGGUGGGGAUGACGUCAAAUCAGCAUGCCCCUUAUGACCUGGGCUACACACGUGCUACAAUGGUUGGUACAACGAGUUGCGAACCCGCGAGGGUAAGCUAAUCUCUUAAAGCCAAUCUCAGUUCGGAUUGUAGGCUGCAACUCGCCUACAUGAAGUCGGAAUCGCUAGUAAUCGCGGAUCAGCACGCCGCGGUGAAUACGUUCCCGGGCCUUGUACACACCGCCCGUCACACCAUGAGAGUUUGUAACACCCGAAGCCGGGUGGGGUAACCUCUAUGAGGAGCUAACCGUCUAAGGUGGGACAGAUGAUUGGGGGUGAAGUCGUA